AAGCUUUCUUCCUGGACUGUGGAAGAAAGGAUUAUCUUCCAACUUAAGCUACCACUUUUUUUCUUCCCCUGAAAAUGUACACCUAUGUCCUAUCAGAGGAAUGGCUGGUGUUUAGAUGAACACUAACAACAGACAACGCUGCAGCAGAAGAUACCUUACAGACAUCAAAGCCUGCAUGGUAAUACAUACUAUAUAAAUAUAUAUAUAUAUAGUUAUAGUUAUUGUUGUUUUAUUUUAAUUUUUCAUUGCUGUAGAAGCAUUUUCAUCAAUCCUCCAAAUAAUGCCUUGAGGACAGACUUUGCAGUGACUCAAAUCAGUGAACCUGGAACGGCAGCAUUGUGUGUCCAUCAGGUACAUUAAACAAGCCCAUUUUUAUAACUUGGGGUUAGCAGUGGUCAUGAAUAUCUAAAAAGGGCCUUAAUCAUCCACAGAAAAUUAAGCAGCUAGUUCAUCCAUUUAUCAUCGUGCAUGAAGCCGCAGAACUUCUGUUCUUUUGUGCCGGGUCUAAUGGCAUCACAGGCCAGAAGCACUGCCUUUCAGAAGAUGGUACUUGGUUAGCUUCAGUCCAUUACCAUUUCGUAACGCUCAUAUGAACUGUUUGAUGAUGGUGGAAUUAGCUGAACCACUUCUCACUAAUCAAUAUUGCCAUCCCAAGAUACUUUCUGAUUACUGGAUGCUUGUCUAAUGGUCAUGUCAUCUACCGUACUAAAGACCUCCACAGCCACAGUGGCACGGCCACCUUCAAAGGACUUGAGCAGUCUAUAACCACCUGGCAUUGUGUGAAGAUUGAAAUGCAUCAUUCUGCGGUGAUAUGGAAUUAUUGGUGUUAUUGCCAUGGACUUCCAAUGGUUCUGGCAAGAACUGUGGAAAGAAGGAUCCUGAUGGAGUCCUGUGUUUGUUCCCACCGAAGAAAAAUGGCUUUUCUGAUAAUGUUAUCACUGGGAACUGACCUUAAACUGCCAAUUUCAUUCCUUUUAACAUAUCUGCUGGAUUAA
rnacentral:lncRNA from 1 species